AACGCUGGCGGCGUGCCUAACACAUGCAAGUCGAACGAGAAAGUGGAGCAAUCCAUGAGUACAGUGGCGAACGGGUGAGUAACACGUGACUAACCUGCCUUCGAGUGGGGGAUAACCUCGGGAAACCGGGGCUAAUACCGCAUAACAUCCUCAGGGUGCAAUUCCCAGGGGACCAAAGGGGUAAGACGCUUGAAGAGGGGGUCGCGGCUGAUUAGCUAGUUGGUGAGGUAAUGGCUCACCAAGGCGAAGAUCGGUAGCCGGCCUGAGAGGGCGCACGGCCACACUGGAACUGAAACACGGUCCAGACUCCUACGGGAGGCAGCAGUGGGGAAUUUCGCGCAAUGGGGGAAACCCUGACGCAGCAACGCCGCGUGGAGGAUGAAGCCCCUUGGGGCGUAAACUCCUUUCGAUCGGGACGAUUAUGACGGUACCGGAUGAAGAAGCACCGGCUAACUCUGUGCCAGCAGCCGCGGUAAUACAGAGGGUGCGAGCGUUGUUCGGAAUUAUUGGGCGUAAAGGGCGCGUAGGCGGUGCGGCAAGUCACCUGUGAAACCUCUGGGCUUAACCCAGAGCCUGCAGGCGAAACUGCCGUGCUGGA
rnacentral:rRNA from 1 species